rnacentral:snRNA from 1 species
GGGUGUGAGAGCAGUCUGACUGCAAAAUCUGCCACCAGUGUAGACUGGCUGAUCUGGCUGGCUGAGCGGCGUGCCCUCCCUCCCUCCCGCAGCGUGUGUGUCCUCCCGGAGCUGUGCCCUAGCCUAACAGGCACCUCCCACAGAGAGGAGGACCCUUCCGGUCCAGGCAGCAUGGGCAACUGCAUUCUCCUGCCAGAGCCGCCAAACAAGCUCUCAAAAAAUUGCCUCUGAGCCCCAUGUGGUGGCGCACACCUGUAAUCCCAGCACUCGGGAGGCUGAGGCAGGUGGACUGCCAUGGGUU